UCGGCAACGGCGGAAUGAGGACGCGGAGAAGUCAGCAGAAGCCAUAGUAGCGGACCUCGGCCGCGAAGGGC
rnacentral:ncRNA from 2 species